CCAUGUGCAGCUUCAGCCAAUCAUAGUAGCCCCAGUGAGCUGAGCAAGCAUCUUCAUCUCCUCGGCAGGGAAGCAUCUGACAGCCAGCUCAGUGUUUAUAAGAGCAAGAACGAUGUCCCGAGAAGAAGCAGAGGGGGAGGGGAGAUCCCUGCUUUCCCCUGCACUGAUCACAAUCUGACAGCAGGUGGAUGACGGGAUGGAAUGCACAUAGAGAAUAAAUGGAAGUAAAAUACAAGCUCAUUUGCAGUUUUUCAUUUGUACCUGAGACCGCCCAUGCUACUACUCCUACCGUGACGAUGUAUGUUACUACAAUCAAGAAAACAUCAAUUAUCUUCUAUAGAAUCUUGUCGUCACCCAUGGCAACCUGCAAGCGUGUCUGCUACAACAUGAGCUAUUUUUUUCUCCAAUUGUUGGAGGUAAUGCCAAUAUUUUUUUAGUUCAUUCAAGAGGAACUUUGGUAUCACCACAGGUAUAUGUACAUUAGGGGUACAUUGGUGACAAUUCCCUUUAACUGUGUGGGUAAGGGAUUAUGGAAAGUGGAAGAUGAUACCUGGUCUGGGUCACCGGAACAUCCCCUAUCCGGUGCUUGUGUCAUCUAUGUGCAUGUUGUACACCGUGAAAGCACCUCCCUGUAUGCCCUAUACAUAGGGGACUGCUGUGUCACCACCCUGGAGUGUAUGGUCUGUAUGUGUCAGUGGCAACACUGUUCCUCUUGUUAUGAAUACCUCAACAUGGCAAGAACCAAAUUUUUUACUUACCUAAGUACAUUGCAUUGAUCCGGUUGCUAAGGACAAUGACUUCUAUGACCGGCCGUUAUGUAUCUCCAAAUACGUCCUCUCCAAGAGUGAGAAUGCGCAGAGAAGGACGAUGGAUUGGACAACGUAUUGGUUACUAUGGACGCUCUGUUACAUAAUAGAGUCUAGGAACGACGCUGGAUGCAGCAACACUCAGAUUGCCAUGGACACUUUGCGACUUCUCCUGCAAAUCGGAAGUUGAUUGUUCACACAGCGGGAGGCUGUAACCAUGUGAAAUCGGCGUCUAGGAAGGAGUAUAUUGUGUUAGGGU